GCCUCGCUAGCGCAACCGGCAGAGCGUGAGACUUUUAUGAAAUCUCAAGGUUAGGGGUUCGAAUCCCCUGCGAGGCG